AUAAUGGAGCUUCCGAAUUGACGAUCCACUCCGUUAAAUAUGAUCUAGAGUAUUUGAAACUUUUAAAAAAUAAAUUUUGUAAUUUUUCGAAAUCAUAAUAACGUCCAUCAAGUGGGCAUAAAAUGAACAGUCAAAAUUUCUAUUUUGAUCUUUAUCUAGAUAGUGAAUAAAAUUUUCUAUCAAAAAUUCAAUCGAUUCCAAUUUUUUUACACCAUUAAAAUAGCAAGUAUUCCAUAUCGACCAUUAAAAAUUGUCAAUUUUUAGAUCUUUUGAUUGUAAUGAUACAAAAAAAUUAUAAAAUUUGAUUUCUUGAAGUUUUUAAAUAUUCUAGAUAAUAUUUAACGGUAUGGAUCGUCGAUUCGGAAGCUUUAUUAUUGAAAACGACUUAUGAGUACGAAGGCGAUCGCACUCAUAAGAGUAUAGUAGCCUGACUCUCUCUCUCUCUAUAUAUAUACAUCCUCUCAACCUUAGUGAUUCUUUACUUUUGCAAUUGAGUGUUUUUUUUUUCCAACUAAGUUAAAAAUUUUAUCAAAUUCAUGUAUGAGGGAUCUCAAUUGAAAAACUUUUAACUAAGUAAAACGCAAAAACAAAACAAAAACUAAAAGUUCAAGGGUCCUAAAUGUUAAAAAAUUGAAGUUAAGGGGGUCUAUUUCAAAAUGACCUAUAGGUGAGGGGUUUCCACAUAUUUUAUCCACCAAUAACUAGUGUUAGAAAUGUUAUUUUUUAAAAGUUAGAAGGGUAUUCAUGAAAUUACUCCUUUAUUAUUUGUUAUCUAAAGAACAAUCCAACCAACUUUUUAAGCGGUAAAUUAGUCAUUUUAUAACUUUACCCUAACGCCAGUUAGAAGAAAGGAUAGCUGUGAUAAUUUUCUACAUUUGAAGGGGUAUAUAUAAUAUUUUUAAUUUAUAGGGGUAUUUGCGAUUAUUUCAUGUUUAAGAGGGCUAGUGAUGAAAUUG
rnacentral:lncRNA from 1 species